GUUUAUUUGGAUUUGGGUUUGUUCAAUGAGUGCGGGCAAUGGCAAUUGACAUUGCAAAAUGCUGUUAAUAGGGCAAAAGGUCAAAGAGAAGAGAGCAAAAACUCCUGCACUAGUUCCUGAAGAUGCAGAUCCUAUUUGGUCAGUAGGUUCCAAAACCAUUCUAUCCGAAAGGACAGGAAUGAAACAGAGAAUUGGCAGCAUCAUGAAUGGAAUCCACAAUCGCCUGGGAGAUCCAAGGAUUGGCCCAGUCUUGCUCUUAGGAGCAUUGACGUCUUUUGGUAGCAUCUGGCUGUGAAGGAGCCAAUCAACUCAUCCAAGUUGAUCAAAUAAUCAAACUCAACCGAGCAAAAAAGAUGACGAAGAUAGACCAAAUCGGAGACGCUCGAAGAGAGCAGUGUCAAAUCAAGAUCAUCCUCCUUCCAUCACUGACACAGAACCAAAAGAUGCUUACCAG